GGAGGAACAGCCAUGAUAGACGCGGCGGCGCUUCCAUGUGGUGAAUUUCCAUGCUGCCGUUGUAUUUCGCGCUCUUAGAAUGUCCUUAUUAAGCUACCGAUUGAGUAUUGGGCACAAUUGUGGUGGGCUAGAUCAAAGUGCUAACUGGAUAGUGGUCUUGGACACUGAAAAGUUAAAUGGAGCAUUGGAAAGGUGUUUGUCACCUCUGAUCAUCAAAGAAGUCUGUUGACAUGCAAGGACCACGACAGGAUUGGAAACUACCCAUGAGAUGCAUGAAAAAUAUCAGAACAAUCAAAGACAAGACCAAACCAGAAGGACACUAAAUGGAUGAAAAUGAUUGGCAGGGAAGCUUAAUUCACCAGGCUGUCGGGGCUGUCUCCUGUUUCCUCUUAACCUUCCCCACUUAACAGAACACUUUGAAGAACGAAUAUUGGUGAAUUUGUUCCAACAAAGACAUUCCUCAGGAAAAACACAAUUUCUCCAAACCGCUACAGUAGAGGCCAAACCAUGAAAGAAGAUAGCCUCUCCACAAACAUGCAAUCUUCAGACUGAAGAGACUGUCUCAUGCCUGUCAUGGCAGGAGGAAAGAAACAGAAAACAGAUGAAGUGAUGAAAUGUCCAAGGUUGGGAUCAACACAGAGCCGCAAUGGGCAUAAACAACAGUUGCAAUAUAUCGAUUUUGUUGUUUUAUUGUCCGAUACUUUCUCUGGAUCAGAGCCACUGUAGGAAUAAAGACAGAAAGACAGGAGAGGAAGGAAAAGACAGUCAGUCAAACAAAGAAAGAAAGAAAGACUGAAAAAAGCGAGAGAGAGAGAGAAAGAAGUACGGGGUGGCUGCAAUGACACUCGGCACCAUAGAGCAGUGCUCCAUAAUUUGCCUGACAUUUUUCAUUGUGUGUAAUUGGCAUUCAUUCUCUAAACGGAGUGCACUGUGACAGCAAUGAUGGGGAAAUGUCAGGCCUCAGCAAGAACAGAGGUGAGCUGCCUCUGUUUGUCUGAAUGAUGAAAACACACACUCUCAUCCUUUCGUCAGUCGGGAGGGCGGUGCGCUGAUGACGACUCCCUGAAGCUUUCUUGAAGACUUCUUAAGCACUUUGGUACAAUUUCUAUUGUUAUUAAAUGUGCUAUAUAAAUAAAUGUGACUUGACUUGACUUCUGCGUAGGAGGAGAGAGACCUUUCGCAGCGUCUCCGUAAUAUUUGAAUCAUUGUUCUUGGCAGGAGAUCUUGCCCUAAUACACAUCUUUGAGCCAGUGUGCUUAUUUAAAGGUGACUGACACUUCAUCUGGCAAAUUUCUUGCUGCAAAGUUCUGAAUGCACUUCUGUGCUAGUGUGUUUUCUUUCUCCACAGAUGUUGGAUAAUUUAAUAAAUACUCAUCCAAGUCCGACCUGUUGGCAUUCAUUUUUUUUGUUCAAUUGCUUGCAACAACAACCAAUGGCUUGUAAAAGUGCUAUUGCUUUGUUAAAUGGUUGAAACCUUUGUCAUGUUACACUGACAACACACAGCUCUGAACAGGAGAAAAAAAGAAGACAAAAUCGGUUUUCUCUUCAAAGCAGGGAAAUGGAAGGAUGCCUAAAGCCUACAAGACAAAACAAAGAAGAAAAAGUUGAGUAAUUGAAGAAGAAAUCAUUAUGAACGAAUGAACCUCAACACACAGGGUUGGCUAAACAACCGCACAAGCCUCACACUAAAAGCCCAGCCUUUGCUCCAUUUGCAUUGAAAUGGGGGCAAAAGCUGAAUGAAAGAAGCAAAAAAAAAAAGAGUGAAACAAAGAGAAAACAAGACCGAAGAAGAAGGUCAUAAAGCACCAAGGUCUGCUGAGUGAUUGAAAAUGGGACUAAAGCAACAUGCUCUCGAAAGUCUCGGAUGAAAAGAUGGGGAGGGGGGAGAAAAAUCAAUGCGAUGCAAUUAAGCACAAAGCAAAGCUCCCCAGAGCUGAGCGGAAUUUGUUAUUUAUUAAAUCAUGUCCCCCAAACCUCUCCUCCUUUACCUUCCCCUUGUCCAACACACAUAGUGUAUUCCCUGCAACCUCCACUCAAGGUAAUCCAACUCAGGCAUUUGGACAGGGCAGCUAAACCUAUUGUUCAGGGGCCUGACAAGUGAAUUCAGGUCGGCUCCCACCUCUCCGUGAAAGCAUGGCCAUGGCAGUGAAUGGCAACAACACAGGGCGUUGAGGGGCCACACACGAGAGAG